AUGAAGACCUUUGUUAUCAAGGCUCUCUUGCUGCUGGCUCCUGACUGUGCUGGCCCUGACCAGCCAUCUAGAAGGUUCACACUUUGUUGGCUCUUUCCAAACUCUCUUCAUCUGGUAUGGUCUUCUGGAGCCCAAGUUUAUCAGUGUUGGCUUUCUGGAUGAUACACAGUUUGAGAGGUUCGACAGCGGAGAAAACUUUCCUGCGAUGAAGCACUGUGCACCAUGGAGAGAUCAUCAUAACCAAGAUUAUUGGAAGAAGAAGUCACAGAGGGCCCUGAGAGAUUUUGAGACCAUGGGACAAUUACUGCAGUUAAUGCUCCACACCUACAACUACAGUACGCUUGGAUAUCACACAAUCCAGAGGAGGUAUGGCUGCCAUGCCUUGCCUCGAGGGUACUUCAGUCAUGGAUUCUUAGAAGUAUCUUUCAAUGGCCAUGAUUACAUCAGGCUGAAUGAGGACCUGAGGACUUGGACAGCAGUUGGCAAGGCACCAGAGAUUCUCAGGCAACGGUGGGAGAAGCACGGUUUUGCAGAAACUAUGAAGAUUUAUCUGGAGGUUGAAUGUUUGGACUCACUCCUCACAGAGCUGGAGUAUGGGAAGGAGAUUUUACUGAGAACAGAACCCCCUAAAAUACACGUGAUCCAUAGGGCCAGACCUGACAGGAAAAUCACCCUGAGGUGCUGGGCCCUAAGCUUCUACCCUCCUGAAAUUACUCUCACCUGGGAGAGAGAUGGAUGCAACCAGAUCCAGUACAUGGAGGUGGUAGAGACCAGGCCUUCAGGAGAUGGAACUUUCCAGAAGUGGGUAGCUGUGGUGGUCUCUUCUGGAGAAGAGCAGAGAUACACAUGUCAUGUGAAUCAUAAGGGGCUGCCCGAGGUCAUCACCCUGAAAUGGGAGCCUCCUGAGCCCACCAUCCCCAUCAUGGCUAUUAUUAUUGCUGUGGUUCUUGGAGCUCUGCUUAUGGGAGCAGUGACGACUUUUCUGAUAUGGAAGAGGAGGACUAGAGGUAAGAAAUGGACAGAGUCUUAG